GACGAACGCUGGCGGCGUGCCUAAUACAUGCAAGUAGAACGCUGAAGGAGGAGCUUGCUUCUCCGGAUGAGUUGCGAACGGGUGAGUAACGCGUAGGUAACCUGCCUGGUAGCGGGGGAUAACUAUUGGAAACGAUAGCUAAUACCGCAUAACAGUAGAUGUUGCAUGACAUUUGCUUAAAAGGUGCAAUUGCAUCACUACCAGAUGGACCUGCGUUGUAUUAGCUAGUCGGUGAGGUAACGGCUCACCAAGGCGACGAUACAUAGCCGACCUGAGAGGGUGAUCGGCCAAACUGGGACUGAGACACGGCCCAGACUCCUACGGGAGGCAGCAGUAGGGAAUCUUCGGCAAUGGACGGAAGUCUGACCGAGCAACGCCGCGUGAGUGAAGAAGGUUUUCGGAUCGUAAAGCUCUGUUGUAAGAGAAGAACGAGUGUGAGAGUGGAAAGUUCACACUGUGACGGUAUCUUACCAGAAAGGGACGGCUAACUACGUG
rnacentral:rRNA from 1 species